rnacentral:rRNA from 1 species
AACGAACGCUGGCGGCAUGCCUAACACAUGCAAGUCGAACGAGACCUUCGGGUCUAGGUGCGCAGGGGUACUUACCGCCUGGGAACUUGCCCUUAGGUUCGCAAUAACUCCCCGAAGGGUAUCCUAAGACCACAUAAUGUCUUCGCACCAAAGAUUUAUCGCCUUUGGCUGGGCCCGUGUUAGAUUAGCUAGUUGGUAGGGUAAAAGCCUACCAAGGCGACGAUCGAUAGCUGGUCUGAGAGGAUGAUCAUCCACACUGGGACUGAGACACGGCCCAGACUGCUACGGGAGGCAGCAGUGGGGAAUAUUGGAGACUGGGCGAAGGUCUGAUCCAGCAAUGCCGCGUAAGUGAUGAAGGGCUUAGGGUUGUAAAGCUCUUUUACCCGGGAUGAUAAUGACGGUACCGGGUGAAUAAGCACCGGCUAACUACGUG